rnacentral:rRNA from 1 species
AAUAGAUACCCGGGUAGUCCACGCCCUAAACGAUGUCAACUAGUUGUUGGGGAUUCAUUUCCUUAGUAACGUAGCUAACGCGUGAAGUUGACCGCCUGGGGAGUACGGUCGCAAGAUUAAAACUCAAAGGAAUUGACGGGGACCCGCACAAGCGGUGGAUGAUGUGGAUUAAUUCGAUGCAACGCGAAAAACCUUACCUACCCUUGACAUGGUCGGAACCCUGCUGAAAGGUGGGGUGCUCGAAAGAGAACCGGCGCACAGGUGCUGCAUGGCUGUCGUCAGCUCGUGUCGUGAGAUGUUGGGUUAAGUCCCGCAACGAGCGCAACCCUUGUCCUUAGUUGCUACGCAAGAGCACUCUAAGGAGACUGCCGGUGACAAACCGGAGGAAGGUGGGGAUGACGUCAAGUCCUCAUGGCCCUUAUGGGUAGGGCUUCACACGUCAUACAAUGGUCGGAACAGAGGGUUGCCAAGCCGCGAGGUGGAGCCAAUCCCAGAAAACCCGAUCGUAGUCCGGAUCGCAGUCUGCAACUCGACUG